UGGGGAAUUUUGGACAAUGGGCGCAAGCCUGAUCCAGCAAUUCCGCGUGCCGGACGAAGGCCUUCGGGUUGUAAAGUGCUUUUAUACGGAGCGAAAACUGCUUGUCUAAUACCGACGCGUCCUGACGGUACCGGAGGAAUAGGCACCGGCUAACUACGUGCCAGCAGCCGCGGUAAUACGUAGGGUGCAAGCGUUACUCGGAAUUACUGGGCGUAAAGCGUGAGUAGGUGGUUUCUUCAGUCUGCUGUGAAAGCCCCGGGCUCAACCUGGGAAUUGCAGUGGAUACUGGGGAGCUGAAGAGCGGUAGGGGGUAGUGGUAUUCCCGGCGUAGCGGUGAAAUGCGUAGAGAUCGGGAGGAACACCAGUGGCGAAGGCGGCUACCUGAACCAGAACUGACACUGAGUCACGAAAGCGUGGGGAGCAAACA
rnacentral:rRNA from 1 species